rnacentral:rRNA from 1 species
GACGAACGCUGGCGGCGUGCUUAACACAUGCAAGUCGAACGGAAAGGCCCUGCUUUUGUGGGGUGCUCGAGUGGCGAACGGGUGAGUAACACGUGAGUAACCUGCCCUUGACUUUGGGAUAACUUCAGGAAACUGGGGCUAAUACCGGAUAGGAGCUCCUGCUGCAUGGUGGGGGUUGGAAAGUUUCGGCGGUUGGGGAUGGACUCGCGGCUUAUCAGCUUGUUGGUGGGGUAGUGGCUUACCAAGGCUUUGACGGGUAGCCGGCCUGAGAGGGUGACCGGACACAUUGGGACUGAGAUACGGCCCAGACUCCUACGGGAGGCAGAAGUGGGGAAUAUUGCACAAUGGGCGGAAGCCUGGUGCAGCAACGCCGCGUGCGGGAUGACGGCCUUCGGGUUGUAAACCGCUUUCGCCUGUGACGAAGCGUGAGUGACGGUAAUGGGUAAAGAAGCACCGGCUAACUACGUG